ACUGGUUAUAAGGAUGCUCAAGGAACUUAGGGAGGACCUCAACAGCAUAAAUAAGAUCCAAAGAUCCAGUCAGAAAUGAAGUAUACACUAAUUGAAAUAAAGAACAAUUUAUAGGAAAACAACAGUAGAGCAGAUGAACCCAAGAAUUAAAUCAAGGACUUGAAACAUAAGAAACAAAAAAACAACCAAUAAGAAUAGCAAAAAGAAAAAAGAAUUUUAAAAAAUGAGGAUAGUAUAAGCAGCCUCUG